GAUGAACGCUGGCGGUAUGCUUAACACAUGCAAGUCGAACGGGGCCUUCGGGCCUAGUGGCGGACGGGUGAGUAACGCGUGAGAAUCUGGCUUCAGGUCGGGGACAACAGUUGGAAACGACUGCUAAUACCGGAUAUGCCGAGAGGUGAAAGAUUUAUUGCCUGAAGAUGAGCUCGCGUCUGAUUAGCUAGUUGGUUAGGUAAUGGCUGACCAAGGCAACGAUCAGUAACUGGUCUGAGAGGAUGACCAGUCACACUGGGACUGAGACACGGCCCAGACUCCUACGGGAGGCAGCAGUGGGGAAUUUUCCGCAAUGGACGAAAGUCUGACGGAGCAAUACCGCGUGAGGGAGGAAGGCUCUUGGGUUGUAAACCUCUUUUCUCAGGGAAGAACACAAUGACGGUACCUGAGGAAUCAGCAUCGGCUAACUCCGUGCCAGCAGCCGCCGUAAGAC
rnacentral:rRNA from 1 species